AAGACGGCUAACUGUGUAUGUUUUCUGCAAUCAGUUGAGGAGGUAACAGAUGAGAAAACAAUGAUCCUCAUUUAAAGUCUAUUUUUAAGUAGUUUGUUUACUUCUUAGAAUUAAUUAAUUGGAUUAGAGUUGCAUUUCAAUGGUAAAGAAACUAAGUUUGUGAAGGAAAAUUCUACACGGCCUACUCUGAACAGUAGUUGGAUACCUUUGAAAGAAAAUCUAAAUAAUCAUUCAAGGACGGCAGUAGAGGUGAUGGAGAUAUCUUUUUUUCUCAACAAUGACAUGCCGGACAAUCAGAAGUCUCUAUAUGAGAGAUUACGUGACGAGAAGCUUAUAUAAGCCUCGAGAAUUCCGAGUUUUCCCGUUUUGACCCCGAUUUCAAUUAAAUAUCCCUAAAUAAAAUGUUUUGAUUGCAGAA